rnacentral:rRNA from 1 species
GCUUACGGCCAUACCAGCCUGAAUACGCCCGAUCUCGUCUGAUCUCGGAAGCUAAGCAGGGUCGGGCCUGGUCAGUACUUGGAUGGGAGACCGCCUGGGAAUACCAGGUGCUGUAAGCU